GUGGUGUCAGGCACCUGUCUCUGGGAACAUGACUUACUGUUCAGUCCCUUGCAGAGUUUUCUACUAGGUCACCAGAGCAAGCCUCAUUCAAUGAAAAUAGGCUGCCUUUCACGGCCCCACAAUCACCUAGGCAAUACUUUAGUUUCUGCCUUUUCCUUUUCCUACAGUAUUAAAAAGAUACCCCAGACAGACAGACACUGUCUUAACAUAGGUUUGACUUUAGCUUUCAGUUAGUAAAAUUUGGAUUUCUAGAAGCUACUAGAAUAAUACUGCAUUGUAAAGGUUUCUAAAGUAAUUUCUAAAGACUAAUAACCCUCUACUUCAGUCUCUUUAAGCUUAUUUCUAUUAUUCAUGGAUAUAAAUGGACCUUCCUAAUUUACAUGAAUAUUCAAAUGCUUUGAUCAUCCCAGUUAACAUUCUAGAAGCUUAAAUGAAUUUUAAAGUGUUACAGAUACAAAUUCUCUAUAUACUUGUGUGAUUAAUCAGAAACCAAGAUAAUCCAAGUAUCUGUAAUAAAAAAAAGUCAAAAGCGAAACAAUUCCCCUAGUUAUGCAUUUCGCCAACUUUAUCACCAAAUAGUUAGUUGAUAUGCAAGAUUUCCUAAGCCUGAUCCCUUUGAAUGUGUGUGAAAACUUCACCUGACAAGAUCAAGACCUGAACAUGCUCUCAACAUGACCUCUGGUGGAGUCUCUCUUAACAGACUGGAGUAAGACUGGAGCAAGGAACUUUUGCAGACAUUAGAAGGCUGAUGGAGAAGACUAUUGGCAAGAACUACCAGGCCCUCCUAAGAUGUUGACUCUUUGCUGGCAGGACCAGACUGUUUAACAGGAUGCAGUUCUCAGCUACGUUUCCAGCACCAUGCCUACCAACAUGCUCCCUGGCAUGAUGAUAAUGGACAGAACCUCUGAAACUGCCCUUUUAGCCAUUGCUCAGCUGCAGCAAAGGAAGUUCUUUCCUCACCUCAUGUGCAUUUCCCCUCUCCUGAAGUCCCCCCGGAGAUGGCUUUUAAAAUGGAAGACAGUCUGAUAUUUGUAUUCUUAUGAUUUUCUGCUAUGUCACUGAAUCUCUGGUUUGAGAUCAGUGACUCAGCUCUCUGCAACAGAAAUGAAUCAAAUAAAUAUUAGAAGCAUGG
rnacentral:lncRNA from 1 species